rnacentral:rRNA from 1 species
UACGUAGGCAGCAAGCGUUGGUCGGAGUUACUGGGCGUAAAGGGUGCGUAGGCGGCUAUUUAAGUUUGGUGUGAAAUCUCCCGGCUCAACCGGGAGGGUGCGCCGAAUACUGAGUGGCUAGAGUACGGGAGAGGAAAGUGGAAUUCCUGGUGUAGCGGUGAAAUGCGUAGAUAUCAGGAGGAACACCGGUGGUGUAAACGGCUUUCUGGACCGUAACUGACGCUGAGGCACGAAAGCGUGGGUAGCAAACAGG